rnacentral:lncRNA from 1 species
UUGGACAAAUUAAAGUUGGGAAUGUUGUUGAUCCUAGAAAGUGCACUAAGGUGUCGAGAUCGUAAGAUGUCGAUUAACCUUAUGUCAGUGGAUGUUGUUGAUAACAUUGAUGCCUUCAACAACUAUUCAUCAGGUUGAAGAUGUUAUUUUGAUACACUACACAUCUUCAGUAGGGUGCAUUUGAUGUCCAAAUCGGAUAAGGCUGAGCAUAAAUAUGAUGCAUAUGACUUUUCCUUGGUUUUAUAAGCAAAUAUAUAUUUACAUAAUAAUUGUAAAUGUUGCAUAUAUGGAUGUAUGAGGCUAUCAUCGCUUUGGGUAACAAGUGGAUGAUCAAAAAGGAGACAAGCUACCUUCAAAUACUUCAUUAGCGAGCACAAGAUUAGCCAAACGCCAAAGACUUGAAAACCAUUUGCGACGAUCUUCAAUAGGAAUCUCAAGCAAGUUUUGUAAAUCAUGGUACAUUUUCACGUAUCACAAUUCAAGUAAUACCAUCUCUUACAAUCGACCAUUUUCAUCCCUUAGAAAUUUAUCAAAGUAACAAAUAAAAAACAUGAUGAUCAUAUAUCUGCAUUACGGAUCAAAAUAUUAUUAAAAAAAAGGAUUAACCAUAAGGGAUUUAAUAAAUAAUGGUACUAAAAGUAAAAUAAAAAAAGGCCCAGCUGAGGGCGGCCUAGACGUCCUGGGCCGUCCGUACGACUUGGCCGUUUGGAUCCUUAAAAUAUCAUAUUUGAUUAUCCAGGUUUUUUAUUAUUAUUAUUAUUUUUUGCUUAAAAAUUUAUUGAUCUAUUAAAUAAAAUGUAAAAAGUUAUCUACAUUUUAGCAUAUGUCGAAAUAAAACUUAAACAUCAAAAAAGUAUACUGAUUUAACGAAAAUGAAAUUAAAUCUACGUAAAUAUAUUUACCGAUUCGAAGUGUUGGAUAUAUACGAUUUUUUUAAUUGAGCGUUU